rnacentral:rRNA from 1 species
CAGCCGCCACGGGAAUACGAAGGGUGCAAGCGUUAAUCGGAAUUACUGGGCGUAAAGCGUGCGUAGGCGGUGAGUUAAGUCUGCUGUGAAAUCCCCGGGCUCAACCUGGGAAUGGCAGUGGAUACUGGCUCGCUAGAGUGUGUCAGAGGAUGGUGGAAUUGCCGGUGUAGCGGUGAAAUGCGUAGAGAUCGGGAGGAACAUCAGUGGCGAAGGCGGCCAUCUGGGACAACACUGACGCUGAGGCACGAAAGCGUGGGGAGCAAACAGGAUUAGAUACCCGCGUAGUCCCUGUCUCUUAUAC